UUGACCGUGCAAAGGUAGGAUAAUCAUUAGGGGUUUAAUUGGAACCUGGUAUGAAGGGUUGGACAAAGGAAAAACUGUCUUUAUAAUAAAAGUUGAAAUUUACUUUUAAGUGAAAAGGCUUAAAUGUUUCAAAGGGACGAUAAGACCCUAUAAAUCUUUAUAAGUUGUUUGGAUUUGAUUAAUUUAUAAAAUAAAGGUUGAGUUUGAUAAUCUUAUUUUGUUGGGGUGAUGCGUGUAUAAGUACUAUUAACUGCUUGAAAGAUAUACUGUUAAGUGAAAGAGUUAAACAUAUGAUCCUUUUUAAAGAUUCAGAGACCAAGUUACUUUAGGGAUAACAGCGUUAUUUUUCUUGAGAGUCCAUAUCGAAAGAAAAGAUUGCGACCUCGAUGUUGAAUUAAAAUAUCUAUAUAAUGUAGCCGUUAUAAAAGAGGGUCUGUUCGACCUUUAAAUUUUUACGUGAUCUGAGUUCAGACCGGAUAC
rnacentral:rRNA from 1 species